UCUAAGUCUAUGCUUUGUCCUGUGUUCUCAAGUAACUUUGUUUAUGUUCCUUCGCAGACUAAAAACCUGAAUCUUGGAUUUACAUUACUGAACACUGACUUCGUAUCCGGACGUUUCCGGACGAUCAAGAAUAUCUACGUUCUGAGGACUUCGUUUCCUAACUACUGUUUCCAUCUGGAGUCAGACUAAGCUGGCAGUUUCCUGCUUCCUCCGUUUCCUGGACCAAGGCAUAAGCAUACCCUGUCCACCCUCCAACGCAAGUAUCUUCACAUUGCACUCUCUUCUGAAAUCUCCAAGCUCACUCGAACAGCACCUAAGGAAGAAUAAAUUCAGCUUUGACAACCUGGACUCCGAAUCUUUCUACCACUGGCGACUUGACCAUGCCCACUUAUUGAAGAUUCGUCCGCUCCUGUUUCCUGAUUAUUUGUGGCACAAUAAAAACAUCAUUUUACUUA